AUGUGCUCUGGAGUGAUUAUACUUCUCUGAAGUGUAUGUUAUUUACAUUAAGAACAUGUUUCCUUCAUGAUUUAUCUUGGAAUCCUCCUAUCUCUUCUACCGUUCUUGUUACGCGCAGCUUGCGUACCUGAGUAUGUGAGGCACAAUUCCAUCCCUUUUCGGAACAGUUCAAUCAUAGGUCAACUGAAUGUCACAUAAUCAAAGGUCUUUGACUGUGAGCAUUUGCUCAAAUUGGUUUCUUCUGAGUCUCUUUGAUUUUGCGUCAGGAGUUGUUAGAAACAUCAUUUUGCCCAACUUUAGUAACAAGGUCUUUAAUGAAAGCGAGUGCUUUCUAAGCUCAGCUCCCAGCAUGUAAUUACUCCAGUGAAACAGUGCACGUAAAAUAUCAGGUGUGCGGAGUUCAGUAUUGACCUACCUAGUUUCUGCACCGCUAAUCGUCCAAGGCUGAAUGUGAUUAGAUCAAUUAUUGGUAUCAUUUAUAAGAAGAAAUGGAAAGCUCGCAUAUCACCUUCCAUAUAUUAACUAAAUGCUCUUAUCAAGAGAUUGCCGUUUCGGUUGAUGUCUGUCAGUGAACCUUGAAAACUCAAGGAAACUAAGAGGUAAAUUUUUCAAUAUUUUAUCCUUAAAAUGCCUGUAUUACGACCAAAUACUUUCUCCGUGGCUUUUGCAUUUUUUAAAAUAACUUAAGGCACUACCUAUGUGGGCAAGUAUAUGAUUUGACAAAUUUUAUGGUGAAGCGAUAUUAUUCGAAAUUAAUCCAAGAGAAAGGUAAGCUAUUUCAUUGCAUGCGCAGGUAUUUUUUUGCAAUGGCCGAUACUUAAUAAGGUCAGUGAGAAAUUCUCUUAAUAGGUAUUCAUUGUCAGAACCUGCAGCCUGAUUGUCGAAAUUGUGUGUUUCUCGGGUAGACAUAGAUGACAUAGGUCAAAAGGCAGUACGUGAUUGGUCGGCGCUAUGUCUUGUCGCUGUUUUGUCGUGCCUCUGAUGGGUGGAACCCUAGACAAGCUAAAGGCAUCUCUUAAGUUUCUGACAGUAUGUUGUCCAUUCCACCAGACAAAGGCACAAUAAAGCUGCGAUAAGACAUAGUUGAUCAAUAACGCUCCACCUUUUAACCAAUGUCAUCUGUGUCUACCUUUCAAACACAAAUUUUCAACAAUCAGGCUGCUGGCACCCUCAAGUUAGGAAGAUCAUCUUAUGCGAUAAGUAUGCCUGUUGCCAAAUUUUCAAA